AAUACCGCAUACGACCUGAGGGCGAAAGUGGGGGACCGCAAGGCCUCAUGCUAUAGGAGCGGCCGAUGUCUGAUUAGCUAGUUGGUGAGGUAAAGGCUCACCAAGGCGACGAUCAGUAGCUGGUCUGAGAGGACGAUCAGCCACACUGGGACAGAGACACGGCCCAGACUCCUACGGGAGGCAGCAGUGGGGAAUUUUGGACAAUGGGGGCAACCCUGAUCCAGCAAUGCCGCGUGUGUGAAGAAGGCCUUCGGGUUGUAAAGCACUUUUGUCCGGAAAG
rnacentral:rRNA from 1 species